UACGGAGGGGGCUAGCGUUGUUCGGAAUUACUGGGCGUAAAGCGCGCGUAGGCGGCUUUGUAAGUUAGAGGUGAAAGCCCGGAGCUCAACUCCGGAACUGCCUUUAAGACUGCAUCGCUAGAACGUCGGAGAGGUAAGUGGAAUUCCUGGUGUAGCGGUGGAAUGCGCAGAUAUCAGGAGGAACACCAACGGCGAAGGCAGCUCGCUGGGACGGUACUGACGCUGAGGCGCGAAAGCGUGGGGAGCAAACAGG
rnacentral:rRNA from 1 species